CUCAACUUCAAGAAUCGAAGAGCUCAAAAUCCAAUAAUAAAGGGUGACUUUAACAUACUUCUCUCCUCACUGGAUACAUCAUUUAAACAAAAACUAAAUAAAGAAGCUAUAGAACUAAAAAUAUACUAGCUGAAGAACUCCAGCCAUGGUGAGCUUUUUGUACUUGAAGAGCACCUGCUCACAUAAAUAGAGCCAGCCCUGAGCAGCUUGCCCCUCCCACCAGCCUCUGCCUCGUAGAGCUAUUGGGAUGUUCAGGCUAGAUUGUUCUCUGGUAAGGGGUUAAGCCUCACACAGGAUACAAUUUAGUUCCAUCCCCAUUUUGGCGGGAGGGUACUGGGGAUUGAUUGAACUCAGGGGCACUGGACCCCGGAGCCACAGCCCAGCCCUAUUCUCUAUUGUAUUUAGAGACAGGGUCUCACUGAGUUGCUUAGUGCCUUGCCAUUGCUGAGGCUGGCUUUGAACUUGCAAUCCUCCUGUCUCAGCCUCCUGAGCCACUAGGAUCAUAGGAAUGCACCACCAUGCCCGGCUCUAUUCCCAUUUUUUAAGGACACACCAAGCUUGGAAAGUCCUCCAGAGUUUUCAGAAGCUAGAUGAUGAAGUGAUUUCUUUUUCUCUAACAACAGCUGGAUGGCAUUAUGUGCUCUAUGGUCCCUCCUCUGACUCCUGGUAAAGGGGAUUCUUACUUUGGUAUCACCAUUUCUGACUCCCCUGGGAGCUGUGGAGACAGCUUUUCAAGGGGCUCUUAGAAAUUUCUAAAAUGUUAUUGUCUAGUCCAUAUUUCUUUAGCUACAAUGAAUGGGUUAAAAUAUAAUAGAUCUUAAGAGAGUAUUAUGAAGAGUGUUGCUCUACUACUUUAUUAACCCCCUUUUAAAAAUGACGUUUUAAAGCUGGGAGUAUAGUGCAGUGAUAGAGCAUAUGCUUAGCAUGUGCAAGGCUCUGGAUUAUAUCCCUAGUGCCCCCCAAAAUAAUAAUUGACAGUUUCACUCCCUCCUGAGCCUUAGACUCCCAAAGAAUAGCUAGAGAUACUUGAUCAGUAGAACUGCUGUCUGUUUCUGAGGGUAUCAAGUCAAUUCCGUAAGUCAGAAUUUGAAAUAUGAAAAUAUUAUGAUGAAGCACAACUUACAUUUUUCUUUUCUCCCGUCUCUCUAAUCAGACAGAGUAUGAAGUUGCCAUUGAGGAGGAACGAAGAGACUGUGGACUAUCAAU
rnacentral:lncRNA from 1 species